CCUACGGGCGGCAGCAGUGAGGAAUAUUGGUCAAUGGACGAGAGUCUGAACCAGCCAAGUAGCGUGAAGGAUGACUGUCCUAUGGGUUGUAAACUUCUUUUAUAUGGGAAUAAAAUGUUCCACGUGUGGGAUUUUGUAUGUACCAUAUGAAUAAGGAUCGGCUAACUCCGUGCCAGCAGCCGCGGUAAUACGGAGGAGCCGAGCGUUAUCCGGAUUUAUUUGGGUUAAAGGGAGCGUAGGUGGAUUGUUAAGUCAGUUGUGAAAUUUUGCGGCUCAACCGUAAAAUUGCAGUUGAAACUGGCAGUCUUGAGUACAGUAGAGGUGGGCGGAAUUCGUGGUGUAGCGGUGAAAUGCUUAGAUAUCACGAAGAACUCCGAUGGCGAAGGCAGCUUACUAAAC
rnacentral:rRNA from 1 species